rnacentral:rRNA from 1 species
UACGUAGGGUGCGAGCGUUGUCCGGAAUUAUUGGGCGUAAAGAGCUCGUAGGCGGUUUGUCGCGUCUGCUGUGAAAUCCCGAGGCUCAACCUCGGGCCUGCAGUGGGUACGGGCAGACUGGAGUGCGGUAGGGGAGAAUGGAACUCCUGGUGUAGCGGUGGAAUGCGCAGAUAUCAGGAAGAACACCCGUGGCUAAGGCGGCUCUCUAGUACGGUACUGACGCUGAGACGCGAAAGCGUGGGGAGCGAACAGG